rnacentral:rRNA from 1 species
CCUUGACAUACUAAGAACUUUCCAGAGAUGGAUUGGUGCCUUCGGGAACUUAGAUACAGGUGCUGCAUGGCUGUCGUCAGCUCGUGUCGUGAGAUGUUGGGUUAAGUCCCGCAACGAGCGCAACCCUUUUCCUUAUUUGCCAGCGGGUAAUGCCGGGAACUUUAAGGAUACUGCCAGUGACAAACUGGAGGAAGGCGGGGACGACGUCAAGUCAUCAUGGCCCUUACGGCCAGGGCUACACACGUGCUACAAUGGUCGGUACAAAGGGUUGCUACCUCGCGAGAGGAUGCUAAUCUCAAAAAGCCGAUCGUAGUCCGGAUCGCAGUCUGCAACUCGACUGCGUGAAGUCGGAAUCGCUAGUAAUCGCGGAUCAGAAUGCCGCGGUGAACUGCGUUCCGGCCUUGUACACACCGCCCGUCACACCAUGGGAGUUUGUUGCACCAGAAGUAGGUAGUCUAACCGCAAGGAGGACGCUUACCACGGUGUGGCCGAUGACUGGGGUGAAGUCGUAACAAGGUAGGCGUAGAUGA